rnacentral:rRNA from 1 species
CCUACGGGAGGCAGCAGUGGGGAAUAUUGGGCAAUGGGCGCAAGCCUGACCCAGCAACGCCGCGUGAAGGAAGAAGGCUUUCGGGUUGUAAACUUCUUUUAUCAGGGACGAAGCAAGUGACGGUACCUGAUGAAUAAGCCACGGCUAACUACGUGCCAGCAGCCGCGGUAAUACGUAGGUGGCGAGCGUUAUCCGGAUUUACUGGGUGUAAAGGGCGGGUAGGCGGGAAUGCAAGUCAGAGGUGAAAACCACGGGCUCAACCUGUGGCCUGCAUUUGAAACUGUAGUUCUUGAGUACUGGAGAGGCAGACGGAAUUCCUAGUGUAGCGGUGAAAUGCGUAGAUAUUAGGAGGAACACCAGUGGCGAAGGCGGUCUGCUGGACAGCAACUGACGCUGAGGCGCGAAAGCGUGGGGAGCAAACAGGAUUAGAUACCCGUGUAGUC